UCUAAUACCGGAUAACACUCUGUCCCGCAUGGGCGGGGGUUAAAAGCUCCGGCGGUGAAGGAUGAGCCCGCGGCCUAUCAGCUUGUUGGUGGGGUAAUGGCCUACCAAGGCGACGACGGG
rnacentral:rRNA from 1 species